rnacentral:miRNA from 1 species
GUCUCUCCUCCAUUAGACUGUGAGCUCCUUGAGGGCAGGGAUUGCUUUU